rnacentral:rRNA from 1 species
CUGGCUCAGGAUGAACGCUAGCGGCAGGCUUAACACAUGCAAGUCGAGGGGCAGCGCGAGUAGCAAUACUUGGCGGCGACCGGCGGCAAGGGUGCGUAACGCGUGAGCAACAUGCCCGUAUCAGGGGGAUAAUCCAGGGAAACUUGGUCUAAUACCCCAUAGUAAUUUUGUAAGGCAUCUUAUAAGAUUUAAAGCUUUGGUGGAUACGGAUUGGCUCGCGUGACAUUAGCUGGAUGGUAAGGUAACGGCUUACCAUGGCUAUGAUGUCUAGGGGUUCUGAGAGGAAGGUCCCCCACACUGGAACUGAGACACGGUCCAGACUCCUACGGGAGGCAGCAGUGAGGAAUAUUGGACAAUGGAUGGAAAUCUGAUCCAGCCAUGCCGCGUGAAAAGGAAGAAGGUCCUAUGGAUUGUAAACUUCUUUGUAUGGGAGCAAUAAGGCCUACGAGUAGGUUGAUGAGAGUACCAUACGAAUAAGCACCGGCUAACUCCGUGCCAGCCGCGGC